AAGUCGUAACAAGGUUUUGCUAAGCAACAGUCCUUCUGUAGCAGAGCUUAACAGAGACCUUGCACCCGAGAGGGGGGAGGCGACUAUAAACGAACUCCCAGCGCAAGUCGGCUUAGCUGGCAACACAAUCGAAUUGCGGGGACGCUUUAAAGCCCACCGGUACCAACUGCUCCCCUGGGGGGCAGGGCCAGCGAUGCUGGAGGUUACAACCCGGUAGGAUACUACAAUAAGCAAUCCGCAGCGGCUCAGCCGUCCACAGACUAAGUGGUUGUGGGUAGGGAUCCCCUACUUAAGAUAUAGUCGGGCCCCUGUGAUAAGUCAUAGGGGGUUCUGCGUCCGUAGGGUGAACCUGCGGAAGGAGUCAUUAAUAAAGGAUACCUUCGGGUAUACCCCAUCCGUGUCUACAUACUUUUGUUGCUUUGGCAGGCCGUGGUCUCCCACUGUGGGUUCUGCCUGCAUGUGCCUGCCAGAGGACCAAACUCUGAAUUUUAGUGAUGUCUGAGUACUAUAUAAUAGUUAAAAC
rnacentral:misc_RNA from 1 species